rnacentral:rRNA from 1 species
UAAGACGAACCACACAAACGUUAUUCGGAAUUACUGGGCUUAAAGGGUGCGUAGGCUGCGCAGUAAGUUGGGUGUGAAAUACCUCGGCUCAACCGAGGAACUGCGCCCAAAACUACUGUGCUUGAGGAAGAUAGAGGUAAGCGGAACUUACGGUGGAGCGGUGAAAUGCGUUGAUAUCGUAAGGAACACCUGUGGCGAAAGCGGCUUACUGGGUCUUUUCUGACGCUGAUGCACGAAAGCUAGGGGAGCAAACGGG